rnacentral:rRNA from 1 species
GAUGAACGCUGGCGGCAUGCCUAACACAUGCAAGUCGAUCGGUAAGGCUCUUCGGAGUACACGAGAGGCGGACGGCUGAGUAACGCUAGGAACACACCCUGCAGUGAGGGAUAAGACACCGAAAGGUGUUCUAAUACCGCAUACGGUCUUCGGAUUAAAGCAUUUAUGCGCUGAAGGAGUGGCCUGCGUCAUAUUAGAUAGUUGGUGAGGUAUGGCUUACCAAGUCGAUGAUGUGUAGCUGGUCUGAGAGGAUGAUCAGCCAGACUGGAACUGAGACACGGUCCAGACUCCUACGGGAGGCAGCAGUGAGGAAUAUUUCACAAUGAGCGAAAGCUUGAUGGAGCAAUGCCGCGUGCAGGAUGAAGGCCCUCGGGUUGUAAACUGCUUUUAUAAGAGAAGAUUAUGACGGUAACUUAUGAAUAAGGGACGGCUAACUACGUGCCAGCAGCCGCGGUCAUACGUAGGUCCCGAGCGUUAUCCGGAGUGACUGGGCGUAAAGAGUUGCGUAGGCGGUCAAGUUAGCGAGCGAUGAAAACUAUCGGCUCAACCGAUAGCUUGUUGUUCGAACUGCUUGACUCGAGAGUAUCAGAGGUCGCUGGAAUUCCUAGUGUAGCAGUGAAAUGCGUAGAUAUUAGGAAGAACACCGAUGGCGUAGGCAGGCGACUGGGAUAUUUCUGACGCUAAGGCACGAAAGCGUGGGUAGCGAACCGGAUUAGAUACCCGGGUAGUCCACGCCGUAAACGAUGGAUGCUAAUUGUUUGAGGUAUCGACCCCUCGAGUAAUAAAGCUAACGCGUUAAGCAUCCCGCCUGUGGAGUACGGCCGCAAGGCUAAAACAUAAAGGAAUUGACGGGGACCCGCACAAGCGGUGGAGGAUGUUCUUUAAUUCGAAGUUAAGCGAAGAACCUUACCAGGGCUUGACAUCCCCAGAACUUUUUCGAAAGAAAAAGGUGCCUUCGGGAGUAGGUGACAGAUCUGCAUGCCGUCGUCAGCUCGUGUCGUGAGAUGUUUGGUUAAGUCCAUCAACGAGCGCAACCCUUGUCGUCAGUUGUAUUUUCUGGCGAGACUGCCCCGUAACGG